rnacentral:rRNA from 1 species
GUAGGGUGCGAGCGUUAAUCGGAAUUACUGGGCGUAAAGCGUGCGCAGGCGGUUCGUCGUGUCCGAUGUGAAAGCCCCGGGCUCAACCUGGGAAUGGCAUUGGAAACUGGCGGGCUUGAGUGUGGCAGAGGGGGGUGGAAUUCCGCGUGUAGCAGUGAAAUGCGUAGAGAUGCGGAGGAACMCCGAUGGCGAAGGCAGCCCCCUGGGCUGACACUGACGCUCAGGCACGAAAGCGUGGGGAGCAAACAGGAUUAGAUACCCUGGUAGUCCACGCCCUAAACGAUGAUCACUGGGUGUUGGGGGAGCGAUCUCCUAGUACCGWAGCUAACGCGUGAAGUGAUCCGCCUGGGGAGUACGGUCGCAARAUUA